GACAGCGGUUGCAAGCGUUGUUCGGCAUUACUGGGCGUAAAGCGCACGUAGGCGGUUCGUUAAGUCAUGUGUGAAAUCCCUCGGCUCAACCGAGGAAUUGCGCCUGAUACUGGCGGGCUAGAGUUCGAUAGGGGUGAGUGGAACUCCAGGUGGAGCGGUGAAAUGCGUAGAUAUCUGGAGGAACACCGGUGGCGAAAGCGGCUCACUGGAUCGAUACUGACGCUGAGGUGCGAAAGCUAGGGUAGCAAACGGG
rnacentral:rRNA from 1 species